AGGGUUUGAUCCUGGCUCAGAACGAACGUUGGCGGCGUGGAUUAGGCAUGCAAGUCGAACGAAUCCCACCAGCAAUGGUGGGGGAAGUGGCGAAAGGGGCAGUAAUGUGUGGAUAACCUACCCUGGGGUUGGGCAUAGCCGUUCUAACGAACGGGUAAUUCCCAGCGAUUCGGCGUGAUGGCAUCAUCGUGCCGGGAAAGAUUUAUCGCCUCGGGAGGGGUCCAUAUCGUAUUACCUAGUUGGUGAGGUAACGGCUCACCAAGGGGAAGAUGCGUAGCGGGUGUGAGAGCACGACCCGCGCCACUGGCACUGUGACACUGGCCAGACACCUACGGGUGGCUGCAGUCGAGGAUCUUCGUCAAUGGACGCAAGUCUGAACGAGCGACGCCGCGUGUGCGAUGGAGGCCUUCGGGUUGUAAAGCACAAAAGUGGGGAUAAAGCCGCAAGGUUGAUUGAUCCACAGUAAGCUCGGGCUAAGUUCGUGCCAGCCGCGGUAAGACGAACCGAGCGAACGUUGUUCGGAAUCACUGGGCUUAAAGGGCGCGUAGGCGGGCGAUCAAGUCGGUGGUGAAAUCCUACAGCUUAACUGUAGAACUGCCUCCGAUACUGGUUGUCUCGAGGAAGGUAGGGGCGUGCGGAACAGUUGGUGGAGCGGUGAAAUGCGUUGAUAUCAACUGGAACUCCGGUGGCGAAGGCGGCACGCUGGACCUUUUCUGACGCUGAGGCGCGAAAGCCAGGGGAGCAAACGGGAUUAGAUACCCCGGUAGUCCUGGCCCUAAACGUUGGGUACUAGAUAGUAGUCUGUCAUGGGAUUACUGUCGAAGUUAAAAUGCUAAGUACCCCGCCUGGGGAGUAUGGUCGCAAGGCUGAAACUCAAAGGAAUUGACGGGGGCUCACACAAGCGGUGGAGCAUGUGGCUUAAUCCGAGGCUACGCGAAGAACCUUAUCCUAGACUUGACAUGUGCGAAAGCGUGAGGAAGCAGCGUGCGGAAACGUUACGCGAACGGUAUCCAGUCCGGAACCUCAUACAGGUGCUGCAUGGCUGUCGUCAGCUCGUGUCGUGAGAUGUCGGGUUAAGUCCCAUAACGAGCGAAACCCUUACCCUUAGUUGCGACCUUAAUUGGGCACUCUAGGGGGACUGCCGGUGUUAAACCGGAGGAAGGCGGGGAUGACGUCAAGUCCUCAUGGCCUUUACGUCUAGGGCUGCACACGUGCUACAAUGGCGUGAACAAAGGGAAGCGAACUCGCGAGAGGGAGCAAAUCCCAGAAAACACGCCCCAGUUCAGAUCGGAGGCUGCAACUCGCCUCCGUGAAGUUGGAAUCGCUAGUAAUCGC
rnacentral:rRNA from 1 species